rnacentral:rRNA from 1 species
GAACGCUGGCGGCGUGCCUAAUACAUGCAAGUCGAGCGAACGGACGAGAAGCUUGCUUUUCUGAUGUUAGCGGCGGACGGGUGAGUAACACGUGGAUAACCUACCUAUAAGACUGGGAUAACUUCGGGAAACCGGAGCUAAUACCGGAUAAUAUUUUGAACCGCAUGGUUCAAAAGUGAAAGACGGCCUUGCUGUCACUUAUAGAUGGAUCCGCGCUGCAUUAGCUAGUUGGUAAGGUAACGGCUUACCAAGGCAACGAUGCAUAGCCGACCUGAGAGGGUGAUCGGCCACACUGGAACUGAGACACGGUCCAGACUCCUACGGGAGGCAGCAGUAGGGAAUCUUCCGCAAUGGGCGAAAGCCUGACGGAGCAACGCCGCGUGAGUGAUGAAGGUCUUCGGAUCGUAAAACUCUGUUAUUAGGGAAGAACAUAUGUGUAAGUAACUGUGCACAUCUUGACGGUACCUAAUCAGAAAGCCACGGCUAACUACGUG